AGUGAACGCUGGCGGUAGGCCUAACACAUGCAAGUCGAACGGCAGCACAGUAAGAGCUUGCUCUUACGGGUGGCGAGUGGCGGACGGGUGAGGAAUACAUCGGAAUCUACUUUUUCGUGGGGGAUAACGUAGGGAAACUUACGCUAAUACCGCAUAUGACCUACGGGUGAAAGCAGGGGAUCUUCGGACCUUGCGCGAUUGAAUGAGCCGAUGUCGGAUUAGCUAGUUGGCGGGGUAAAGGCCCGCCAAGGCGACGAUCCGUAGCUGGUCUGAGAGGAUGAUCAGCCACACUGGAACUGAGACACGGUCCAGACUCCUACGGGAGGCAGCAGUGGGGAAUAUUGGACAAUGGGCGCAAGCCUGAUCCAGCCAUACCGCGUGGGUGAAGAAGGCCUUCGGGUUGUAAAGCCCUUUUGUUGGGAAAGAAAAGCAGCAGGUUAAUACCCCGCUGUUCUGACGGUACCCAAAGAAUAAGCACCGGCUAACUUCGUG
rnacentral:rRNA from 1 species